rnacentral:rRNA from 4 species
GGUUGACCUCGGAUCAGGUAGGGAUACCCGCUGAACUUAAGCAUAUCAAUAAGCGGAGGAAAAGAAACCAACCGGGAUUGCCUCAGUAACGGCGAGUGAAGCGGCAAGAGCUCAAAUUUGAAAUCUGGCCCCUCCGGGGUCCGAGUUGUAAUUUGUAGAGGAUGCUUCGGGUGCGGCCCCCGUCUAAGUGCUCUGGAACGGGCCAUCGGAGAGGGUGAGAAUCCCGUCUGGGACGGGGUGUCCGCGUCCAUGUGAAGCUCCUUCGACGAGUCGAGUUGUUUGGGAAUGCAGCUCUAAAUGGGUGGUAAAUUUCAUCUAAAGCUAAAUACUGGCCGGAGACCGAUAGCGCACAAGUAGAGUGAUCGAAAGAUGAAAAGCACUUUGAAAAGAGAGUUAAACAGCACGUGAAAUUGUUGAAAGGGAAGCGCUUGCGACCAGACUCGCUUCCGGGGUUCAGCCGGCUUUCGGGCCGGUGUACUUCCCCGGGGGCGGGCCAGCGUCGGUUUGGGCGGCCGGUCAAAGGCCCCUGGAAUGUAACGCCUCUCGGGGCGCCUUAUAGCCAGGGGUGUCAUGCGGCCAGCCUGGACCGAGGAACGCGCUUCGGCACGGACGCUGGCAUAAUGGUCGUAAACGACC